GAUAGAGGCGCAGGGUUGAUGAGUAGACCGGUCAUAAGAGGCGCAGGCAGCCGAUCGGGGCGAAAGGCAGCACUGCCGAAGUGUUCUGUCAGCCAUUGGGACAGAAUGCUGGGACGCAAGCAGAAUAUGCUUCGUACUGUCACUUUUGUGGAGCGCUAUCGUG
rnacentral:ncRNA from 1 species